UACGGAAGGCAGCAGUGGGGAAUAUUGCACAAUGGGCGAAAGCCUGAUGCAGCUAUGCCGCGUGUAUGAAGAAGGCCUUAGGGUUGUAAAGUACUUUCAUCGGGGAGGAAAAACAAAACUAAUAAUUUUAUUUCUUGACGUUACCCGAAAAAGAAGCACCGGCUAACUCCGUGCCAGCAGCCGCGGUAAUACGGAGGGUGCUAGCGUUAAUCAGAAUUACUGGGCGUAAAGAGCACGUAGGUGGUUUUUUUAAAGUCAGAUCGUGAAAUCCCUGGGCUUAACCUAGGAACUGCAUUUUGAAACUGAAAUACUAGAGUAUCGUAGAGGGAGGUAGAAUUCUAGGUGUAGCGGUGAAAUGCGUAGAUAUCUGGAGGAAUACCUGUGGCGAAAGCGGCCUCCUAAACGAAUACUGACACUGAGGGUGCGAAAGCGUGGGGAGCAAACAGGGAUU
rnacentral:rRNA from 1 species